rnacentral:tRNA from 1 species
GGGGAUGCGAUUUAGUGGUAGAGUUCCUGCUUUGUACGCACAAGGCCCUGGGGUCAAAAACCCCAGCAUCACCA